UACGUAGGGUGCGAGCGUUAAUCGGAAUUACUGGGCGUAAAGUGUGCGCAGCGGCAGAGCAAGUCGAGUGUGAAAGCCCCGGGCUUAACUUGGGAAUUGCGCUCGAAACUACUUUGCUGGAGUGUGGCAGAGGAAGGUGGAAUUCCACGUGUAGCGGUGGAAAUGACGUAGAGAUGUGGAGGAACACCAAAUGGCGAAGGCGAGCCAUU
rnacentral:rRNA from 1 species